rnacentral:misc_RNA from 1 species
GAUGAAGAACGUAGCGAAAUGCGAUACUUGGUGUGAAUUGCAGAAUCCCGUGAACCAUCGAGUCUUUGAACGCAAGUUGCGCCCGAAGCCAUUAGGCCGAGGGCACGCCUGCCUGGGCGUCACACGUCGUUGCCCCCCCCAUCUACUCCUUCGGGAUUGCGGGGGGCGGAUGAUGGCCUCCCGUGCGCCUCGCCGCGCGGUUGGCAUAAAUGCCAAGUCCUCGGCGACGCACGCCACGACAAUCGGUGGUUGCGAAACCUCGGUUGCCCGUCGUGUGUGGUCGUCGCGCAUCGAGGGCUCGAAAAAAUUGCCGAGUUCCGGCUCGGCUUUCAACGCGACCCCAGGUCAGGCGGGGUUACCCGCUGAAUUUAAGCAUAUCAAUAAGCGGAGGA